rnacentral:rRNA from 1 species
GACGUAGGGGGCGAGCGUUGUCCGGAUUCAUUGGGCGUAAAGCGCGUGUAGGCGGCCAGGUAGGUCGGAUGUGAAAACUGGAGGCUCAACCUCCAGCUGUCAUCCGAAACCAUCUGGCUAGAGUCCGGAAGAGGAGAGUGGAAUUCCUGGUGUAGCGGUGAAAUGCGCAGAUAUCAGGAAGAACACCUAUGGCGAAGGCAGCUCUCUGGGACGGUACUGACGCUGAGACGCGAAAGCGUGGGGAGCGAACAGGAUUAGAAACCCGCGUAGUCC